rnacentral:rRNA from 1 species
AUGCAGUCGAACGAUGAAGCCCAGCUUGCUGGGUGGAUUAGUGGCGAACGGGUGAGUAACACGUGAGUAACCUGCCCUUAACUCUGGGAUAAGCCUGGGAAACUGGGUCUAAUACCGGAUAGGAGCGUCCACCGCAUGGUGGGUGUUGGAAAGAUUUAUCGGUUUUGGAUGGACUCGCGGCCUAUCAGCUUGUUGGUGAGGUAAUGGCUCACCAAGGCGACGACGGGUAGCCGGCCUGAGAGGGUGACCGGCCACACUGGGACUGAGACACGGCCCAGACUCCUACGGGAGGCAGCAGUGGGGAAUAUUGCACAAUGGGCGAAAGCCUGAUGCAGCGACGCCGCGUGAGGGAUGACGGCCUUCGGGUUGUAAACCUCUUUCAGUAGGGAAGAAGCGAAAGUGACGGUACCUGCAGAAGAAGCACCGGCUAACUACGUGCCAGCAGCCGCGGUAAUACGUAGGGUGCGAGCGUUAUCCGGAAUUAUUGGGCGUAAAGAGCUCGUAGGCGGUUUGUCGCGUCUGUCGUGAAAGUCCGGGGCUUAACCCCGGAUCUGCGGUGGGUACGGGCAGACUAGAGUGCAGUAGGGGAGACUGGAAUUCCUGGUGUAGCGGUGGAAUGCGCAGAUAUCAGGAGGAACACCGAUGGCGAAGGCAGGUCUCUGGGCUGUAACUGACGCUGAGGAGCGAAAGCAUGGGGAGCGAACAGGAUUAGAUACCCUGGUAGUCCAUGCCGUAAACGUUGGGCACUAGGUGUGGGGACCAUUCCACGGUUUCCGCGCCGCAGCUAACGCAUUAAGUGCCCCGCCUGGGGAGUACGGCCGCAAGGCUAAAACUCAAAGGAAUUGACGGGGGCCCGCACAAGCGGCGGAGCAUGCGGAUUAAUUCGAUGCAACGCGAAGAACCUUACCAAGGCUUGACAUGUUCUCGAUCGCCGUAGAGAUACGGUUUCCCCUUUGGGGCGGGUUCACAGGUGGUGCAUGGUUGUCGUCAGCUCGGGUCGUGAGAUGUUGGGUUAAGUCCCGCAACGAGCC